GACGAGGGACCCUAGCGUUGUUCGGAAUCAUUGGGCGUAAAGCGGGUGUAGGUGGCUUUGUAAGUCAGGUGUGAAAGCCCAGGGCUUAACCCUGGAAGUGCAUUUGAUACUGCGAAGCUUGAGUGCUGGAGAGGCUAUUAGAAUUCCUGGUGUAGUGGUGAAAUACGUAGAUAUCAGGAGGAAUACCGGAGGCGAAGGCGGAUAGCUGGCCAGACACUGACACUCAGACCCGAAAGUGCGGGGAUCAAACAGG
rnacentral:rRNA from 2 species